rnacentral:rRNA from 1 species
GACGAACGCUGGCGGCGCGCUUAACACAUGCAAGUCGAACGGAAAGGCCUGCUUUCCCUUGUGGACUGCGGGUACUCGAGUGGCGAACGGGUGAGUAACACGUGAGUGAUCUGCCCCCAACUUGGGUAUAAGCCUGGGAAACUGGGUCUAAUUCCCGAUAGGACUGCAGGGUGGUGCCUGUGGUGGAAAACGAUUUUCUAGUGGUUGGGGAUGAGCUCGCGGCCUAUCAGCUUGUUGGUGGGGUAAUGGCCUACCAAGGCGGCGACGGGUAGCCGGCCUGAGAGGGUGGACGGCCACAUUGGGACUGAGAUACGGCCCAGACUCCUACGGGAGGCAGCAGUGGGGAAUAUUGCACAAUGGGCGGAAGCCUGAUGCAGCGACGCCGCGUGGGGGAUGACGGCCUUCGGGUUGUAAACUCCUUUCGACCGCGAGGAAGCCACCUGGUUGGAAGGGUGGUGACGGUAGUGGCAGAAGAAGCACCGGCUAACUACGUG